rnacentral:tRNA from 1 species
GGAGAGGUGGCCGAGUGGUUGAAGGCGCACGCUUGGAAAGCGUGUGAACGCUCACAAGGUGUUCCGCGGGUUCGAAUCCCGCCCUCUCCGCCA